GACGAACGCUGGCGGCGUGCCUAAUACAUGCAAGUAGAACGCUGGAGGAGGAGCUUGCUUCUCUGGAUGAGUUGCGAACGGGUGAGUAACGCGUAGGUAACCUGCCUGGUAGCGGGGGAUAACUAUUGGAAACGAUAGCUAAUACCGCAUAAUAUUGACUAUUGCAUGAUAGUCAGUUGAAAGGUGCAACUGCACCACUACCAGAUGGACCUGCGUUGUAUUAGCUAGUUGGUGGGGUAACGGCUCACCAAGGCGACGAUACAUAGCCGACCUGAGAGGGUGAUCGGCCACACUGGGACUGAGACACGGCCCAGACUCCUACGGGAGGCAGCAGUAGGGAAUCUUCGGCAAUGGACGGAAGUCUGACCGAGCAACGCCGCGUGAGUGAAGAAGGUUUUCGGAUCGUAAAGCUCGGUUGUAAGAGAAGAACGAGUGUGAGAGUGGAAAGCUCACACUGUGACGGUAUCUUACCAGAAAGAGACGGCUAACUACGUG
rnacentral:rRNA from 1 species